AGAGAAGGGUCAUAGCUCAGUGGUGGAGCAUUUGCCCUGCAUGCAGAAGGUCCCAGGUUCAAUCCCCAACAGCUUCUCCA